rnacentral:rRNA from 1 species
AGCGAACGCUGGCGGCAGGCCUAACACAUGCAAGUCGAGCGGGCGUAGCAAUACGUCAGCGGCAGACGGGUGAGUAACGCGUGGGAACGUACCUUUUGGUUCGGAACAACCCAGGGAAACUUGGACUAAUACCGGAUAAGCCCUUACGGGGAAAGAUUUAUCGCCGAAAGAUCGGCCCGCGUCUGAUUAGCUAGUUGGUGAGGUAACGGCCCACCAAGGCGACGAUCAGUAGCUGGUCUGAGAGGAUGAUCAGCCACAUUGGGACUGAGACACGGCCCAAACUCCUACGGGAGGCAGCAGUGGGGAAUAUUGGACAAUGGGCGCAAGCCUGAUCCAGCCAUGCCGCGUGAGUGAUGAAGGCCCUAGGGUUGUAAAGCUCUUUUGUGCGGGAAGAUAAUGACGGUACCGCAAGAAUAAGCCCCGGCUAACUUCGUGCCAGCAGCCGCCGUAACAC